UAUCCGUGUGUUUGCCCAAUGUGAUUAUCUUUCAUAUUUGGUCUAAAAAAAAAAUGUAAGAAGACUUACAGGACGCAAAUUGUAAACCAAAUAUGAGUUAAUUAUUUGGUUUGCUUCAGGGAAUGUAUUAGGAAUAUGUUAUUACCUCUAUGUAGAUGUUAAGAUGAUUAAUAGUUAUGAUUAUGAGCCACUUUGCUACUUAUAAUGAAACCCCAUGAUGAAGCCUUUCUCUUAUAUCACAUUUUCUGGCCAUCUGUUCAAGCCAGCAAAGACGAUAGUCACAGUUUAAAUGGGCUGAGGUAUGCUGUCCCAUCCCCAAGCUCCGAGCCUGGUGAGCCCCCUCCCUGCGGUUCUUUUGUCUCCCCUUAAGUCAGGCGUUUGGCUCAAUUACCCCCAAGUAUAGAACAGACCCGAAUGGGGAGAUUUGAUCAGGCCCAUCUAAAUGCGAGCAGCCAAGACUAUAGGAUUCCGUUUUCGUUUAACUUGCAGCAUGUACAGAACGGAAAACAAAAUGUUCUGAAUUCCCCCAAACUCCCACCACGGAGAGCUGCAGAGAGAGAUUACCACCCACUCCAUGCUCUUCAAAUUCAGGGUUUAGGUCGGAGCUCGGGUUGUAGUCAACGUCCACUCACCUUCACGUUGGUACAAAUGAAAUCCCCCCCAAAAAAGCACGUAUUAGUAGCCUUAUGUUUGAAUCUAUUUUAUUUAUGGUAAACACUAUUUAAAGAGCAUAGGCUAUUAUCAACUCCACCUUAGAUAUAUAUAUAUAUAUAUAUAUAUAUAUAUAUAUAUAUAUAUAUAUAUAUAUAUAUAUAUAUCUAUCUAUCUAUCUAUCUAUCUAUCUAUCUAUCUAUCUCUAUCUAUCUAUCUAUCUAUCUAUCUAUCUAUCUAUCUAUCUAUCUAUCUAUCUAUCUAUCUAUCUAUCUAUCUAUCUAUCUAUCUAUCUAUCUAUCUAUCUAUCUAUCUAUCUAUCUAUCUAUCUAUCUAUCUAUCUAUCUAUCUAUCUAUCUAUCUAUCUAUCUAUCUAUCUAUCUAUCUAUCUAUCUAUCUAUUCAACAGUCGCCAAUAUUUGUUUAAAAAUAUGCUGACGUCCCUUUUAACUAAAGCCAUGUAAACCACACCCAGAUUGAGUGUGUAGCUUCUUAAGGCCAUAAUUACACAUAACAAUGUCUUCUUCAUUGUGAAAAUGAAAUAUUACAGUCCUUGACCCUGUGCUUUUUCAAAUUGAAAGCUAUAAUUUGCUUCAACUGUUGAACAUUUUCCAUCUGUUGACUCAUUAUAAAACCCUUUUCCAAACUUGUGUAAUGUGUGUCAGCUGUACUCACAAUCACACUAAACGUGACUUUUAUAUGUAUGCUUACUUGACACGACUAUUGCCUUUCCCCUCAUCUUUUCCACAUGGAGCAUUAUUGCAUGAGUGGCUGUUCCUUUUCAUAAAGUAGAACGUUUUUCCAUAUGCCUACUUCUUUGACCUGAAAGGCACAAUUAUUUUUAGCUGCAGCUCUUUUUCCACACAGAAAAACCAGAUAUCCUUUAUAUCAGGAGAGGGAUCGCGUCUCUGCUGGAGGGAGCACAACUCAACUCCUAAACUGUUAUUAUAAAAAAAACUACAUGCAACUUCGGUAAACUCUUUCAGAGUGUUUGGUUUUGUUGUUCCAUCCCCCCACAAGAUCACGUGAGUCCAGUCUUGGUUCUGUUCCCGGCCAGUAGCUGCAGUUGUUCUUUGCUCUGUGGGAUGAACGAGAUGCUUGUAUAUUUAAGGGCUCUUAUCAGACAAUGGUUCAGCACCGCUCCCGAAGUCUCUGGUUGUCAAGAUAAUCGCGGAUCAAAGCCAACAUGGACCCUGGAACACUGGAAGAGACCCGAAACAUUUCCUCCACUAACAAUGACACUACCAUGCUACCAGUAUUGAUACAUGAUACAUGAUACAGAUAGUGUUUAUACUAAUCAGUGCAAAUGACUCCCUUUUUAUAGUGUUGGUCACAUUUAUUUGUACUACGAUUGCACGGAUUCUGUCGAGCUAAACCAUCUCUCGGUCUGUCCAAUCUACUGACCAAAGUAGUUCUGUGUGUCUGUAUUUCUGCACUACUGUUCCGCCUCCAUCUUUCCUGGACAAACACACGGCUCACAGACGUUGGAAUGACGGUAGCCCGGUGUGAUGUCAUGGGAGCAGCGUGGUAAUAUCCCCCUUGAUAAUGACUUUACCAGGAGCCGGGGCGAUGGGGAAUGUAGGCGGGAUCACACCCCUGGGUCAGAUCAGACUGCUUCCAUGUGGUUUGCAAAUAAAGCACAGUGGCCGUGUCCAACCAAACUCACGUGCGGGAGGCGUCUCAUCCCAUUGUCUCCUGUGUCUAGCGUCCUCCUAGGGAAGGGCCCUGGCUCAGCCUUCACUGAAAGCUGCUUCCUAGAAUACCCACAUGUACUCCCUCCCCAUUGAAUCAACCGAGGGAAUUGCAUUGUGGCCCUUGGCCUGGCUUGGCCAGGUUCCCCUUCGGGUAGGAUGUGUUGGGAUGUUUGUUCCUGGAGACGGGCACUGGGGCAUUACCACUCCGUGAGUGAACAUACUAGUAGGGCCCACUAGACCCCCUCGCAGAGUAAAGAAUACAUAGACAUUGCUAUUCAGCGUGGCCAUCGCAUUAUGGCAUCAGCAUUGCUUGUCUCUAGUUAGCCUGGUUGAUUCGCUUCUCUUUGUCCCGUAGAGGUCUUAUCCCCUGCACAUCUCUGGUCCCAGGGGUUUGCCUGAUCCUAAAGGAAAUGGAUUACUGAGUUUGCCCAGUCUCAGUCUCAGAGCGAGAGAGUCCCAUUUCUCUCCCCCUCCCAGGAGUCUACGUUACUCUAGGUCUCGGCUUAGUAGCUCGAGCUCCGCCAUAUGGUCGUGUCUUCAUGGAGGCGUUCUGAGACGGCGGUGCAGUUUUCCAAGGUGUAGCGUUGGAGCGCGGGCCACUGAAGGAUCCUCUUUCAAAGUGGCCCAGCACCACUGGAUUCCUGCGGUCGCGUCUCGGCUACGGCCGCAGGAGAACUCAAAAGAGGGAACGUUUGCUUUGAACUGGCUGCUUGCCUUGGUGCUCGGUUGUAAUGACUUUACCAACGUUAUUAAAACGGCCAAUGCAUAUUUCUAUGGGCUUGUUUAGAGAAGAACAUCUGAUUAUUUUCCAGUGCUUGAUUGCUUUGGAAACAAUCCUAACCAAUUGGCCCAAAGCUUUCCUUUUCCUUCAACACUGAUUUUGGUGUCGUUAUCUGAUUCAUAUGUAUGCUAAUACUCAAUACUACGCACUCACACAACUCAGUACAGAGGUCGUUGCAUUUGAAGAAACAAAAUCAACUAUUGAUUAAUCAUAACAACGAGACAUUUUAAGUUUAUUUGUUUUAAAGACAGAAUAUUUCAUCAAUAAUCCAGGACUUUCUUGAAUGUCCCCAUGCUGUGCAGACUUUAAGAAAGACCCUUCAGACGGGUGCAUGAUAGUGGCCUUCCAAGGCAGACUAAUAGAGUCAAGCUGUUCAAUUGAUAUACGGGACAUUAAACCUAAAUCAUUUUCAUUGGUUAAGGGAUGGUGGCAUUUGAUUUGAUAAGCCUCUAUGUGUCUACCCCCCCCCCCCCCGUACAACCACAGGGUCUUGACCGACUCUCGUGAAGAGGCGUCGUGGCUGUGAAGCGGGGGUGGGGAGGGAGGGAAAGGCCUUUGUUGGUUUGUUUGUUUUGCCUACUCAGUUUGGUAGUUGAGUGUACAUCUGUCUUGGCUGUCGCCGAGCCUCAGGAAGAGAGGAUUAGCGAGGGACUUCAGGGCACACUGCUAACUUGGUUUUAAAGCUAUAGCUGAACAGACGGUGGUCUGGCUCUACCGUCCACCUGGCCUUCUCGACCCUCAGGCAACAAUUCCCCAUUCUAGACAGGUUUUAUGGGGGACUUUUAGUGCUUCUCCUCUGGCUGGGUUUUUUGUGAGGAGAGGAAAGGGCAAGUGAGAGAGCAUGGCUAAUUGGGGAAAUCCAGCGUAGUUCAACGUAGGUCAGCGUUGUUCAGCACAGGUCAGGAUAGUUCAGUGUGUUGUUCCUUCAGUGUGCGGUUCCUUCAGUGUAGUUCAGUGUGUGGUUCCUUCAAUGUGUGGUUCCUUCAGUGUAGUUCAGUGUGUGGUUCCUUCAGUGUAUGGUUCCUUCAGUGUGUGGUUCCUUCAGUGUCGUUCAGUUUCAGUGUGUUGUUCCUUCAGUGUCGUUCAGUGUGUUGUUCCUUCAGUGUAGUUCAGUGUGUUGUUCCUUCAGUGUAGUUCAGUGUGUUUUCAGUGUGUGGUUCCUUAAGUGUAGUUCAGUGUGUGAUUCCUUCAGUGUGUUGUUCCUUCGUCCAAACUAACGGUAGUCGAGCGUGUUGAAUGUGUGGUUCCUUCACCUGCCAGCCGUGUGGUAUCUGUCUAUUGAUCUCUCCAGUUUUCAGGUCUAGAAUUAGCCGAAAUAAAAUGCUGUUCAGUUCUGUUUUAAGUAGUUUCCAGUAUGUGUGGUAUUAUCACAGUUCUUUCAUCCACAUGACAGGAUGAAUACUUCAGGAAAUGCCCCAAAUGGUUUCUCUUUUGUGUGUGUGUGUGUGUGUGUGUGUGUGUGUGUGUGUGUGUGUGUGUGUGUGUGUGUGUGUGUGUGUGUGUGUGUGUGUGUGUGUGUGUGUGUACGUGUGUGUGGGAGGGUGUGUAUGUCUGUGUUUGUGUUUGUGUUUCAGUGCUUGCAUGCAUGUGAGUGUGUGAGGUUUGGUGUGUGCAUGUACGUGUGUGUGUGUGUGUGUGCGUGUGUGUUUCAGUGCGCGUGUGUGUGUGUGGUUGUGUUCAUUCAUGCACUGCAGUGGGGUAGUUUGCAGACAGAUGCGCCCUGGCUCUCGGUGUGAGACUUAGCUUCCUCUUCAGCACAACGAGGGUUCAGCGGUUACUGUGUCUCAGUGGAACAGCCUCGUUCCCUGAUGCUGGUUGUGUUUCUGUCACUGCAGCUCUCGUGGUUUGCGUUUUUGUUGACAUGGAUGCUACAAAAUAACUGGUGUUGAAAGGACUUAAUAUGAGGAGCCAGUGGUUUAUGGCCUAACUCUUAAAAAACAUGUUGCCCAUCAAAAUACCCUAUUUGUCUUGACGUAACAAUCCGUUAAAUAUUUUUUAACGGAUUGUUGAGCACUACUAUUUACAUCCAUUCUGGCACCCAUUGAACUACUUACCAACCCUGGAAGGAGGGAUCCCCUACCCUGUGUUCCUUCUCAAGAUGUCCUCCUUGUUCAUUUCGUUUCAUCUUGCCCUUUGGUCGCUAGGGUUAGGGUGUGUCAUACAUAUAUGUCCUUUCAAGCAUUUUGAGUCUGCAAUGAUUAUUAAGGGCUAUACAAAUAGAAUUUACUGGACUGGAUUUGUCAAUCUGACUGUACGUCAUGUAUUGCUCACAUAUUGUUACUUCUGCUUUCUGUGUCGUCUGACAGUGACAGCUCCUGAUGCUUUCGCUAUUCCUGAGAAAUCUGGCGGAAGGGGACAGUGAUUAAUAGUUCUGACAAAUGGGCUUAUUGUAAGUCGCUUUGGAUAAAAGCCAAUACCCUAAAUUUAAUUGUAAAUGUUAAUGUAGUAAAGCCGUAUUCUAUGGGGUUCUCAUUUAGUCUCUGACCAUUAAAGGAACAUCAUUUAUUUUAAUUGAAAGCUGUGAGCUUUAUUUAUAGAAAUAGGCUUUUCUUAUUGGUCAACCUUUUGUCGGACUGGGCAUGAAGUCAAAAGGCCGGCCUGAAUUAUGGAGGCAUUCAUGUACCUGCAUUCCUGACAUUCCCGGGGCAUAUUGUCUGUUAGCUAGAGUUCCCCGUAAGCUCUGCAUGGACGGACACAGGGGGAGAAACAGGAUGCUCCUGUAGUAGUAAAGGCAUUCCUCUGAUUCACGGCCACUUUUACAGUUUGUUUAUAAGUAAUGAAUUCAUUCAACAGUCCCACGCUGAAGUUCCUGCUCGCAAAGGAAAGUUGCCUAACCUCGAAAUGAGUAGCACAACAAAAUACAAUUUUAAAUUUUUUUCAAAUUAACAUUUUAUGUUUUUUAUGCAAAACUAGAAGCAUCCAAAGUCAGACAGUAUUGUGAAAGUGAAACUUUGAAGUACAGAUUUAGCUUUCCAGGUGUGUGAGGGAAACCUUGAGCUUGUAGCAUGUGGCUGUUUGUCU